UCUUCGGCAAUGGGGGCAACCCUGACCGAGCAACGCCGCGUGAGUGAAGAAGGUUUUCGGAUCGUAAAGCUCUGUUGUAAGUCAAGAACGAGUGUGAGAGUGGAAAGUUCACACUGUGACGGUAGCUUACCAGAAAGGGACGGCUAACUACGUGCCAGCAGCCGCGGUAAUACGUAGGUCCCGAGCGUUGUCCGGAUUUAUUGGGCGUAAAGCGAGCGCAGGCGGUUUGAUAAGUCUGAAGUUAAAGGCUGUGGCUCAACCAUAGUUCGCUUUGGAAACUGUCAAACUUGAGUGCAGAAGGGGAGAGUGGAAUUCCAUGUGUAGCGGUGAAAUGCGUAGAUAUAUGGAGGAACACCGGUGGCGAAAGCGGCUCUCUGGUCUGUAACUGACGCUGAGGCUCGAAAGCGUGGGGAGCGAACAGG
rnacentral:rRNA from 1 species